GACGAACCGUGCGAACGUUAUUCGGAAUCACUGGGCUUAAAGCGCGUGUAGGCGGAUGGGUGCGUCGGCAUCUGAAAGCCCCCGGCUCAACCGGGGAAGUGGGGCCGAAACGACCCGUCUGGAGGGACGUAGGGGGAUCUGGAACUUCCGGUGGAGCGGUGAAAUGCGUUGAGAUCGGAAGGAACGCCUGUGGCGAAAGCGGCUCACUGGACCACAACUGACGCUGAGGCGCGAAAGCUAGGGGAGCAAACAGG
rnacentral:rRNA from 1 species